GCUGUGGCAGCGUCUGCGUUUUUAAUGAACAAAAGCAAUCGCUAAUGCCACGUGAACACAUUAGCACUCACCACACAGCCAGUCAAAGCUAACAUUACCUUGUCAAGAGUAACACCAGAGCUCAGUGAGCGGUGGCAAUAUUUGUGUUUGUAACCAACCAUUGCCUACUGUCUGAUGACACUUUAAAAUGUGUGUGUUUUAGAUAAAUUAUUCAAGCAACAACUGCGCUUUUUAAAAUUGAGUUUGCUGUGUUGUGACGCAGACGACAGCAUUUGUGGUCCAUUUACAUGUACAUAUGCGAGAAGGUGUGCAAUAGUUUCCCAACUUCUGCACCCGCAAUGUGAGCGACCUAGUUCCAACAUGCAAACACAUUGCAGCUCAUUUUUCAGCACUGUUGGCGUCAACAGUAACAGUUAAGAUACUGGACGCCGCAAAUUAAAUACCCUUGUCGAAAAACUACUGGUAUGCGUCAUAUAUUAAUACUUGGAAGUGUAUUCAUUCAAACACCAUGAGUAGGAAUGACGAUUUUCUCUGUAUGCUUGCGUUUUGGUUGGACUGAAGACUAAAGCUAGAGUUCAAAUUAUGAGAGCAUUAACAUUGUGCGGCUCCUGAAAAUAAAAUUCAAUAUUUCCCAUUCUGGCAACAUUCAUAGUUUGCCGACUUAAAUUGAAUUGCUUAAUUUGUUAUGCAUUUCAUGCAUGAUAUUUAAGGCUACUUGCAUACCAUUCCACCAUUACGAUGUGCAAGGCCCGUUGUCCCAUGUAUGCCACCUGGGUCGCCUGACUCAAAUGACCAUUUUCAAUGCUGGGCGGAGAGGAGGUCUGACUUGUAUAAAAUCAAUACAGAGCUGAAGACACAGGAGAGUGAAGUGCAGCGCUAUUGGGAUGGAUGCCAAGAUUUAAUGCCACCUGCUGUGACUUCUAUAACAGUAUCGCACUUAUUUCAAUCUCAGCUUGGUUUUAAAGCAAGAAAGCUAGAAUUUUUGUCACAAAAUUUAUUCGGAUGUGAAAAUUCUUAAAUUUUAAUAAAGCUGCAAUUUUCGGGACCCAACUAAUUACAAAA